GCAAGUUAAACUCAAGCAUGCGCAUCUUGACUAUGUUAAUGACCAAAAUGUCAAAAAAAAUCUUACAAGAUGAUAUACAGUGCUAAACUAACUUGAGUGAAACAGAUGGGUUCCUCUUCCUUGUGAGGAUUUUGCAAAAGACAUAAACAUAAAUGAUUGAGAACAAGUAUCACAUACCGUAACUAUUGAUGUGUAGUUAAAAAGCAUCAACUCUUUUGUUAGUCAGCCAGAAGUCCACAAAAGGCCCCACUAUUGACAAUGAUGCUGCCUGCGCUGGAGCAGUAUGGCCUAAGAGAUUGAAUGAGCCAAGCGAGUACUUCCAUUGAAGGUAGAAAAGAAGAGCAAAUCAAAUAAAACAUAGUGAUAAUAUGACCCAUUAGGCUAUCGUGAAAGGUGUAGGAGGGGUGGGACUGUGGGAGGUCACAUGGACAACACUAGUUAAAUAAAGAUUAACAAGAUCCAGAAGGCUUUGAACUGCGGUGAUCAAAGCAGCAACAGAGUGCUGGAUUCUUUUGCUUACUGUAUUUCGGAAAGGAAAAAAAUGGUUGGGUGGCCAACAGCAUUUUCAGAACGUCAGAUUAGUCGCCAUAAAUCAGCGAUUAAUCGACUGAUCGCAACUUCGGAGCCGAUCAGGGCGAUCAGGUUUCUGAUCGUCCGAUUAGCGCAGGGACAAUCAGACGGCUGUGUGCUUUGAAAUUUUGGCCCACUUCAAUUGUUUUUCGUUAACGAAUUCGGCCCAGCAGCCCAGCCCAGGCUUCCUUUUUCCUCCCACGUGAACACAACCAAGUAGCCAACCAGGCUGGAGCACACGCGAGACACGACACGAACUGGCUGUCGAGGAACCUAGCGGAGCACUAUGCAGGCAACGCCGGCGCGCUACCGGCGACGGCGGAAUAUGACGCAUCGUCCCCCUCGGCCCCUCCUCCAUCCUAAUGUGCCUAAUUUCCUGUCCGAGUCCAGCAGUGACGGAAGACACGCUAAAAAUAAGGUGUUGCUAAGGUAAUGAUGAAAAAAAAAUCACAACACAAUAACACAUAAAAAGUAAUUUAUAGCUACAAAAUAAACAAUGAAUAUAGAAAAAUAUACAGAGUAAGAGUCAUCGUGACCAUAAUUCAUUUAUAGACAAAUAUUAUAUAGCAAAUAAAAUCUGAAAAAGGAAAAUGAAUAAAUAAUGAUAAAUUGAAGUAAAAUUUUUUAAAGAGAAACUAGCAUAAACGUGGUACUAUCUAUCUUUAUAGAACGUACUUAUAUAGAGGAGUAAUCAUCAAGUGGAAUAGUAUUUUAAUAAACCCACUAUACCUGCUACAAUGUCGGUUAUCUUUCUUCGCAUGGACCUUGCCAUUCAUCUUGCAGUCUUCAUAUCCUUAGCAACUAAAUUAAGAAUCCUAAAUAAACGAACCUAUAUGAGGAGGUUGUGGAUCUGCUGCACGGCUGUGUCAACGAUGGGGCAGAGCGUCGUGCGUGCGAGCUUAUCCUAGGGGCGCUGGACCGUCUAUGCGGGUGCGAGCAUCGCCGAGCGUCCAUGCGCCUUGCGUUGGUGGACGGCAGAGACGCGUAGCGCUGGGCAAACUGCAGAUGAGUAGAUGGCGGACAGCGCGCAGAGCUAGGCAUUUCGGCGGGGACGCGCAAGCUAGGCGGACGAGCACGGACGAGCAGAGAGACAGUCCGGCGGCUAGGAAUGUUAGGGUUACAAUUUCGACAUUUUCUUUCACUAUUGGUGCUUUCUUGGGCUGGGCCAAGGUAUUGCUCAAGCAAUACCGGGUCAUAUUGGGCCCUCCGCCUCUGGAGUCCAGCCCGCUUAUUCGUGCCGGGUCGGUCCGGGCCCGUAUAGAACCGGGCCGUGGCGGGCUCGGACCGGGCCCAAACAGCGGCUUCGUGCCGGACUCGCAUGCCUCGUGCUUAUUAGCCAUCUAUACUAAAGAGUAAAGCUCGAGAUGUAAACUCCCAUGUACCGAAUGUUAUUGGAAGCGAGAAGGAGGCUGACGUCAGCUAGAUUUAGGGUACCGAACCCUUUACCAUACAUUGUUGGAGACAGUUAGACAGCCUCAGACUUCGUGACUUUCUUCUUCCCUCCACCGCUUUAACGGCUCAAACGUUAAGUUAAACAUGUAAAUGCUUGUUGAAUGACUUCACCACACAAGGCCACAGGGAUGAUCUUUAAGAGCCUUGAUCAACUAGCCUCUCCAUGGCGCUCAGCAAGUCACUAGUGAAUAAGGCUGCCCAGUAGGCCAGCACCAUCCGCACGGGUACAAGUGCUCCGUGUGUGGCAAGGUGUACGCGUCCUACCAGACGCUGGGCGGGCACAAGACGAGCCACCGGAAGCUGCCGCUGCCGCCGGCGGCCACGCCAAGAGACGAGGCGUUGUCCGGCGGCACCGCGCAUGCAAAGGAGGAGAAGCUGCACCAGUGCUCGCUCUGUCACCGCACGUUCCCGUCGGGGCAAGCGCUGGGCGGGCACAAGACGAGCCACUGGAAGCCGCCACCGGCCGCGCCAAAAGACGAGGCCGAGGCGUCGUCCGGCGGUACCGCGCACGCGAAGGAGGAGAAGCUGCACCAGUGCUCGCUCUGCCACCGCACGUUCCCAUCGGGACAGGCACUGGGCGGGCACAAGCGGUUGCACUACGAGAAGGACAAGGACAAGGACGCCGCCAAGGACCAAAGAGGCCAUCGUGGCUGCGGUGGCGACAGCCGUGGUGCGGGAUUUCGACCUCAACGGCUCAACCUGCCGGCCGAGGCCGAGGGCGCGCCGCCGGAUGCCAAGCGGGCAUGCACGGACGAUUCUGCGGCGAUGAUAGCCGUGCUGCGGAACUUCGACUGGCCGAGUGUGCGACGCCGGAUGCCAAGCAGCAGGCAUGCACGGGCGAUGCUACGAGUUGUUUGGUAGGUUAGUUUAGGUGGUUAUUAGAUUGGUUCGUUGAUUGAUCGUCGCGCUGCACUUGCUAUAUCGAUCUGCUAAGCAUAAGCACAGCUGCUUUUCGGUCAGUUUGUUCAGAGACGCCAGACGGAUGGGAUCUAUACUGCCCGUGCAUAAAACUAUACUCCUAGUCGUUUCCAAUUUGAGUCAUGAUGAUGAUUAAUCGAUUAUUUCCAAUUGGCCAUAUCCCUCAACGAUCAGAUGCUAAACUUUUAUAAAUUGCAACGGUUUCAGGUCCGGCCUCCGCCUCCCACGGUACCGGCCUCCGCAGCAGCCGCGUGAAUCUCUACAUAUUCCAACCUGCCGAGUGCUCAUCUCUCGAGUCUCGAACAAUCAGCGCCUCUCCAUGGCACUCAUCAAGCCACCGGCAGCGACCGAUGACGACCAGGCCGAGCGGGAAUACAUGGCGUCAUGUCUUAUCAUGCUCUCGCGCGGUCUCCGCGACGAUAACGCGGCCGAUGCCACGAGGGCGACGGGCGCCGCCCCUACGUCUGCAAAUAUGGCCAACGAGUACAAGUGCUCGGUGUGCCAAAAGGUGUUCACAUCCUACCAGGCGCUGGGCGGGCACAAAACGAGACACCGGAAGCCGCCGGCAGCGGCAGCGCCAAGUGACGAGGCGUCGACCGGCGGCACCGCGCACGAGAAGCUGCACCAGUGCUCGCUCUGCCCCCGUACGUUCUCGUCGGGGCAGGCGCUUGGCGGGCACAUGACGAGGCACCGGAAGCCGCCGCCGCCGGUCGUUGUGCUGGACUUCGACCUCAACAUGUUGCCGGCCGAGGCCGAGGCCGAGGCCACCGAGCCCGUGGCCGCGCCGCCGGAUGUCAAGCGGGCAUGCACGGACGACGAUGCUGCUGGUGACUGAUCCUCCGGUCGUUCCAACUGCGGCGGGGAGGUGCCUGACCAGGCGGUCUAGGGCCCUGUUUGGGAACAAAGUUUUUGAAAACCACAGUUUUUGAAAUACUACAUUAUACUUUAGUCAUGACAAUACCGCAGUUUACAAUACCACAAUUUUAAUAACUGAAGUCCAGACCUAAGUUUAGAAUAUCUUAAAACAACUAUAGUAUUUGCAAUACUUCAGUUUUGAAAACAGAGAUUUUAGGCACCUUACCAAACAUCAUUUUGUAUAUAAUACUGCAGUAUUCUUCUAAAACUGUGAAAAAACUUCACUCUCAAAUACCCCUUAGGGCCCUGUUCGUUUUUAUCAAACCCAUAGGGAUUGAGAGGGAUUGAAUCCCCUACAAGUCAAAAUCUACCUCAAUCCACUAAUCCCCUCAAUCCCCAUGGAUUAGGGAUGAAACGAACAAAGCCUAGGUUGUUAUGGUGGCAGCAUUCUUCUCCUCUCUGCUACAUGUCUACACCCACGCACAUCAGCACAUGCCAUCGAUCGCUUCAUGACACCGGCUCGUGUUUCGCUGUUUCUCGUGUCGAGCGGCGGCGGCCAAAAGAGCCAUGUGUUGGUGGAGUGGCUCUCCGACAGCGGCCCGACGUAGACCAUCUCCCUCCAGCGGACCGGGAAGAGCAGCAGAGCGUAGCCAGGAGAGCGUGCAAGGGCGACGAGAGGAACAAGAAAACGAAUCGUUAUUUUAAGUUGUGUAAUCAGCGAUAUGUUGGAUAAUUUUAUAUCAACUUCACGUGUAAAUUGGUGUUAGAGGAAAUUCCACGUUUUUUUUAGAAGCAUAGCUGAUUGAAGUUAAGAGUGUUUGGCAACUGGUUUAUAGAGCUGAGCAGUUUCAAACACCCCUUUAGUUUCAGUGGUUAUUACAUUGAUUGGUUGAUAAGCACAUCUACUUCGAUGGUUAUAGUAUACACCUUUUCCUUCAGUUCAGAGACGUCGGAUUAAAAACCGGACAGAUGCGAUAUAUAGCACCUAAUUAAUUACUUGUAAUACAUAUACAAGGAAAUUUGCGCUUUACUUUUCAAUUUCAGUGUGAAAGUGAAAGAUACAACUAUAGAUCAAACUGAACAUGCCACAUGAAGAGCGAAACACACACAAAGACUAUUACAAAUCAAGUAUCUGCCAGCUUAGAUUGACAUACUCACUGCAAAAGUAAACUCAUGGGCAUUUUACCCAGGCACCCUCUUUCUGCUAUGGCCCCACCUACAAUCCUAUAGAAACAUCUCAUCCCUCAAAAAUAAGUACUAAAAAUAAAGCCAGGUCGACCGGUGCUCAACAAGCAUCGGAUGCCUUUGUGUGUCUCGUUUAGACCUUUUGAUCGAGCUCGGACUGCGAUGACAGCGCCCCAUGCUUCUGACUCUUCUCGCUCGGUGUGGGGUAGACCUGCCGCUCUUUGCCUCCAGAUUUCGACGACGCGUUCCCGUACCAGAUCAUGCCGAUCACAGCCAGAAGCAUGCCAAGGGCGACAUGGAAGUUGAGCCCCUCUUUCCCAAAGAAAAGGAACCCCAAGGUCAACACCAGAACUGUCUUCAUGUGGCCUAGGACUUGGAACGAGACGGCUGUGAAUCUUCCGAUGCAUAUGAAUUGGCUUAGAUUCGUCCCAACGGCAAUUAUGCACGACAACACGAUAAAGAACUGAAAAGGAAAACAUGUGAUAAGAAAAUAGUAAGUCAUGCCCAGGUUCGUCAAGUUUGCGCCGAAGAAUGAAAAUUUAUAACAUCAAGCAGAUCAAAUAUCAAGAUCUAAACCAUAUACAGUAGGCACAGGAUCAUCUCAGUGGACUGUGUUAAUAGUUUAUAAAUACUGGAGAAGUUAAAACUAUAAUAUUUCAUAUCCUACAAGGUCAAUAUGAGACAAUAUGUUGUUGCUUAUGUCCAAACUAUACCGGUGGCAUAGCCAGGAUUUCACUAUUCCCAGGGCUAACUUUUAAACACAAAAUAUAUGUAAUUGCCCGACACCAACAUAAAUACCGAUGUAAUCAUGACGAAAUAUCCAAAUUACCAUGUUUUAACUGAAACUAGGCUACAAGACAAUUGAAGUCCUGCAGCUCCAUAAUAUGUGCAGCACUGAGACAUUUGAAGUUCUAUGAGUCCGAAAUAUGAAAAGGGUAUUUUGGGCAAAAUAAAGAGACAAAAUUCAUAAAGAUUUAAAAAUAACAGGUGCCAAGGCUAAAAGGAACAAUUGGCCAGCAAACUGCUGCCAUUUGCUGCCUUGCUCACCCGGGCCAUGCCAUCAGCGAACUGAGCCUAAGCGGUGGCUUUGUUAGGUUGUUGGCUAUUGGGCUGGACCAACGAGCCUUAGAAAAGCUUUGCAGCUGGCUCAUGAAAGGAUGAGGGAGGCCGUACAUCGCAUCAGGCGCAAGGUCUCAUCCAUGGUUCGGAUGCUGCUGAACGGCUAAGGAGUAAGGACAGAGCUGUUGGAGUACGUAGAUGUAACUGGGAAACGGAAACCGCCAUAGGUCUAUCCAGGGAAGCUGUUCCUUGCCCCUGUAGUGGCUAGUGGCUACACCACUGAACUAAACUACUAUCAGCAAUUCAGCAUCAAACACCCUGAAUAUAAUUCAGAUAAAACAAGGUUCCAGGUCAUCUUCAAUAUUUGCAGCAACCCGUAUGUCAGAUAUCACUACUUAGGGUGUUUGACUCCCACCGCCGUCACACAACACAACAGCUGUGGUUGUGCCACGAGUGCGGUGGACAAAUUGUCUGCCACACAUCUGGUGAGCUGCGGCAUAAAAAAUGAACUAGCUGCUGUGACCGCCGCCAAACCUUCGGCGAACUUCAGCGUGAGCGUUUAGACGACACUGCGUGCCACACUUGUGGCGCUGUGAGCUGUGUAACGCUGUGGACACGAACCAGACAGGCCCUUAAUCUUCACACUAAACCCAGAGCAUAAAUGUAUGCACUGCUAUACAACUAAAGAAAAAAAAUAUGCUUCCUCCCUCCAAUCAUAAAAGGGUGAUGUUUCUUGGGAUACAUUCAGUCAAAAUUAAUUUAUAACUGACACAUGGAAUGAUAACAUUAUGAGCGAAGUGACGCAAGUUAAACUCAAGCAUGCGCAUCUUGACUAUGUUAAUGACCAAAAUGUCAAAAAAAAAUCUUACAAGAUGAUAUACAGUGCUAAACUAACUUGAGUGAAACAGAUGGGUUCCUCUUCCUUGUGAGGAUUUUGCAAAAGACAUAAACAUAAAUGAUUGAGAACAAGUAUCACAUACCGUAACUAUUGAUGUGUAGUUAAAAGCAUCAACUCUUUUGUUAGUCAGCCAGAAGUCCACAAAAGGCCCCACUAUUAACAAUGAUGCUGCCUGCGCUGGAGCAGUAUGGCCUAAGAGAUUGAAUGAGCCAAGCGAGUACUUCCAUUGAAGAUGGUGAACAUA
rnacentral:lncRNA from 1 species